AACGAACGCUGGCGGCAUGCCUAACACAUGCAAGUCGAACGAGACCUUCGGGUCUAGUGGCGCACGGGUGCGUAACGCGUGGGAACCUGCCCUUAGGUUCGGAAUAACUCCCCGAAAGGGGUGCUAAUACCGGAUAAUUUCUUCGGACCAAAGAUUUAUCGCCGUAGGAUGGGCCCGCGUUGGAUUAGCUGGUUGGUAGGGUAAAAGCCUACCAAGGCGACGAUCCAUAGCUGGUCAGAGAGGAAGAGCAGCCACACUGGGACUGGGACGCGGCCCGGACUACUAGGGGAGGCAGCAAUGGGGAAUAUUGGAAAAUGGGGUAAGUGCUGAACCAGCAAGGCCGCGUGAGUGAUGAAGUCGGUAGGGUAGUAAAGCUCUUUAACCCGCGGUGGUAAUGACGGUACCGGAAGAAUAAGCACCGGCUAACUCCGUG
rnacentral:rRNA from 1 species